rnacentral:snoRNA from 1 species
GUUCACAUGAUAAAAUUAAUUGUUCAGCAGACGUGAACUAAACUUCAUUCUGAGAAGA